AUACGUAGGCGGCAAGCGUUGUCCGGAAUUAUUGGACGUAAAGGGAGCGCAGGCGGAUGACUAAGCGGAUCUUAAAAGUGCGGGGCUUAACCCCCGUGAUGGGAUUCGAACUGGUUAUCUUGAGUGCAGGAGAGGAAAGCGGAAUUCCCAGUGUAGCGGUGAAAUGCGUAGAUAUUGGGAAGAACACCAGUGGCGAAGGCGGCUUUCUGGACUGUAACUGACGCUGAGGCUCGAAAGCC
rnacentral:rRNA from 1 species